UAGCUACCAAGAUGUAUAUUCACAAUUAUAGAGAAAAAUUUACAAACUGUUGUUGCAGAUAUAACACCGCCGUUACAAUAAAAGAAAGAUUGCAGGUGAUUCAGUUAUUCGAGUAUUUGCCCAUUAGCCUAGUAAGAAUACACCAAGUAUCAUCCGUGAUUGAUCACUGGGACAUCCUUUGUGCUUCAUAAGGCUAACGCAGGCAUACAAAUGGAUAAAAACCAAUAUUGUAUUUUCUUCCGUCCGAAAUAAGAC
rnacentral:rRNA from 1 species